AUCGGACCCGGCCGCGCCGGGUGGCUCGGCCCGGCGCCUAUCCCCGGGACAACC
rfam:Novosphingobium sp. MBES04 DNA, scaffold: MBES4S01.